rnacentral:lncRNA from 1 species
CUCUCCUCAACCUUUCCUUUAAAUCUUAUUAUUUGCAAAUCACAAACCUAGAUCUCUAAAGCAAGGAUUCAAAUCAUCGAUUGAAGGCCAGUAAUGAAGCAAUUCUCAUGUAUCUCUGAUUCAUCCUAAUCGUCACCCUCUUGGUAUGUUAAGUUUUAAUCUUAUAAUCUUACGUUUAUACAAAACCCUAAUUAUGAUAUGUGCGAUUUUCAGACCUUCAAACUUCUACAAAACCCUGCUAUGAACCGAAUUCCCUUGAUGUUUCCACUGAUUGGAUUCUAUAUAAAAUUUGGCUUCUAAUUAUUGCAAUUUUCUAAGAUUUUUCUUCAAUGGUAGCAGAUCUCUGUUAAUUUUCAAGUUAUCGUUUUUGCUCAGGUAAAUGUUCUAUUGGUUUUUUUGGAUUAUAUAAUAGUUUAUUAUUGGCUUAUUUUUUUUUUUGUUAAUCAUAUGUAUAUGUCAUUGAUUUAAUUGGAAUUAGAUUUAUAUGAUAUGGUUUGAAACAUGUGACUGUAUUGUGAUUUUUUGGGGUAAAUUUGGUUACAUUCACCAAGUUUAGAAGUGUAGAUUGGAUUUUGGAGUUUAUAAAUUGUGAAAUUAGAGAUCAGUGUAGAAAGAUACUCUUACAACUCUUUUGAUUCUACAAUACUUUGUUUGUUCGGUUUUUUAUUUUGUUUCUGUUUGUUGAGAGAUAUUCAGUUUUCAAUCAUUUUCGCUCUGUGAUUCUUUUCGAGUUUCUGGACAAAUUUUUUUCCGGUAAAGUUCUUUUAACAUCACGUUGUAGUUUUUAUUAUUGAUUUAUUGAAAAACUUUCAUUGAGUUCUUCUUCAUCUAGGUAAUCAUUUUCUAUUCAAAUAUGGUUUUAGUUCUUUUAAUCAAUUGUAAUAAUACCUUAAUUCCCACAAUCGAUAUUAUUACGUGUCCAUAUCGGUUGUCGUAGUAUUGUAGCUCCAUCACCAUUAAGUUUGGUUAAAUAAUACAAUUAGUGUUGCAGAGAUAGCACAUGAGGAUAUACAAGAGUAGUUUGAACUCGAAAAACAGUAGAUAAUGUUACUUCCACCAGUGGCGUAUAUAGAGUAUGUUCUUAAUCCCUUUCGGCUUGAGUUACUUUAUUGUCAUUUGUUUUUUUAUUUAACAAGAUUAAUAUUCAAUCAGUACUUAUUUGUUAAUAAUAAGAAUUAUAUUAUGGCUACAUAUUUAUUUAUUUAUUUAGAAUCCCGUAUGGGUCAAACAAGGUUAAAGUCACUAGACUUUAUACCUUUUAUACCAAGUUACUAACCAAAUGGGUCAAGCUAGCUUACUUCAUUUUUUGAAUCAUAAGACUAUGAGGGGCGGAAUGGCCAAUUUUGGUUCGUGUUCCUUAAUUGGGUCAACUGAAAAAAAAAACUACCUGAAUGUGGAUUGGGGCAAAUGGGUUGA